rnacentral:misc_RNA from 1 species
UUGUAGCUGGAAUCACAAGUAGUAG